AACAUCGCGCACCUGCGGGAACCUGCGGAAGGAUCAUUACCGAGUUAUACAACUCAUCAACCCUGUGAACAUACCUAUAACGUUGCCUCGGCGGGAACAGACGGCCCCGUAACACGGGCCGCCCCCGCCAGAGGACCCCCUAACUCUGUUUCUAUAAUGUUUCUUCUGAGUAAACAAGCAAAUAAAUUAAAACUUUUAGCAACGGAUCU
rnacentral:misc_RNA from 1 species